GAUGAACGCUGGCGGCGUGCUUAACACAUGCAAGUCGAACGGAAAGGCCACAGCUUGCUGUGGUACUCGAGUGGCGAACGGGUGAGUAACACGUGGGUGAUCUGCCCUGUACUUCGGGAUAAGCUUGGGAAACUGGGUCUAAUACCGGAUAGGAAUCACAUGUGGGUGUGUGGUUGGAAAGCUUUUGCGGUAUGGGAUGAGCUCGCGGCCUAUCAGCUUGUUGGUGGGGUAAUGGCCUACCAAGGCGUCGACGGGUAGCCGGCCUGAGAGGGUGUACGGCCACAUUGGGACUGAGAUACGGCCCAGACUCCUACGGGAGGCAGCAGUGGGGAAUAUUGCACAAUGGGCGCAAGCCUUAUGCAGCGACGCCGCGUGGGGGAUGACGGCCUUCGGGUUGUAAACUCCUUUCGUCAGGGACGAAGCGAAAGUGACGGUACCUGGAUAAGAAGCACCGGCUAACUACGUG
rnacentral:rRNA from 1 species